CGUCGGGACAGCUCUGAAAUGAGGGUCAUUUAUUCUCAGCUCUGAGAACUGAAUUCCAUGGGUUGUAAUUGAAUCUGCUGUCAGACCCAUGGGGCUCAGUUCUGCAGCUUGGAUAUUUCUGUCUUCACACACACGGGAGAGCAAAGAAGCACUUGAUCAUUCCCUGACUCCUCUGGAUGGUGAGAGCAGCAAGUGGGAGAGGAGGAGCCACUGAUGUGAAUCAUCUGAACAGGGCGGGCUCAUUGCAAAGCCUGGCUCUCGUGUUAAACAGCUGAAUGUUAAAUAGCUGUGUGUUAAAUAGCUGUAUGGUGACUGAAUCCUUGCUGAGCUGAUGGGCUCGUGCUGCCUCUCACUGCCUAAUUAGCUUUGUUCUUUCCUCUCGUUGUUACCAAGGUCACACAGAAAUCCCUGCUAUCUGCUGACUGAAGGAUGGUCCCCCAAUAUUGCCAAGUGCUGCAGAGCUCCCAGGGACAGCUGGGGAAGCUGCUCUGCACCAGGGCAGCCCCAGAGCUCCCCGGGCUGAACACCAAGUGUGCCAGCUGAUAACCUGCUGUAACCUGCCCUCAGUGCCACUGCUGUGCAGUUAUGGUUUCUUUUGAUUUGUCUGAUACCAAAUACCCAUUUUCAAGGAGUGUCAUGACUGUGCAGAAUGUGCCUUUGCACCAGCCACCAGCCCCCUCAUAUGAACACAGCUUUUCCUUCCUGGGCAUGGUAAUGUGCUCCCCAAGGGUUUGGAGUAGGGAGUCUCCAGUCUAACCAGGGAUGUGUGCUGUUUGAAGGCUCAGUAGCAGGAGCAUCCCCUUACAGGGGGAUUCAUUCAAGUCACAGGUUAAUGCCUUUUUUCUUGGAGGACCUAUGUUAACAUUUUUCAUUCAGGGAUCAGGGAAAUAAUUGUGGUCUUUAAGCAUGUAAAGAGUUAUGAUUACCAAUGAGCUUUCCACUGCUUUCCUGCAAUAAUCACAUCUUCCUAAAUUACAUUUUUCCAACUCAGUAAAGUAGAUCAUGCACUGAUCUUACCUCUGUGGUACAAUGCUCUUAAAAGCAUAGAAAUACCAAAAUCUCACAGGUGCAGGAACAGCAUGCUCAGCUGAGUAGCUUAAAAUGUCAUGUGCCUUUCAUUCUGAAUAUGUAUUUACACUAAAAAUAAUCAGAUAUAAUCACUGUUGCCUGUGGAUACAGGUGUACCUUCAUACUAAUGUAAUUUUCAUAUAAACUCGUGUUCUAAGGGUUGAAGAGUUUCUUUGUGGCUGUCUGAGAUGUAUUGUGCCCACCAGUCUAGAAAUUACAGUUCUUGGAAGAGCUCACCAGUUCCAGCAGCUCCUGCUGUGGGAAUAUCCAUUAAACAGAAUGGAGAAACACACAAAGCAAAGGAUGACAUUGAAAUUUGAUUUUUUAUUUUCCUCAAUCAUCCCUGUCAGAAGGAGGACAUGAAGUCUGAGGUCAGAGUUAGCAAUAUCUGCAAAAGGAGAGAGAGAGAUGGAAUCUUUUCCAAUAUGCAGGCAGCCUGGUGGAUGUUAGGUAUCUGAGGGUGCAGAACGUCCUGCAGAGCCUCCCCUGAGCAGCCCAGGCUGUGGCAGUGGGUGAGUGCAGGGGGUGAGCACACGAGGCCACAGAGGAGAUGGAGAUGUCGUUGGAGUGGAGUCUUUGCAGUCCCAUCUCCUGAGGGAACCAACAAUGCUCUCACAUCCUCAGGGAAGAGAAAAACAAAACCGUGCAAGUGCUCUGAACUUCUGCUGAAUAAACCCGGCUCAUAUAAA